UACGAAGGGGGCUAGCGUUGCUCGGAAUCACUGGGCGUAAAGCGUGCGCAGGCGGUUUUGUAAGUCUGUCGUGAAAUCCCCGGGCUCAACCUGGGAAUUGCGAUGGAGACUGCAAGGCUAGAAUCUGGCAGAGGGGGGUAGAAUUCCACGUGUAGCAGUGAAAUGCGUAGAGAUGUGGAGGAACACCGAUGGCGAAGACAGCCCCCUGGGUCAAGAUUGACGCUCAUGCACGAAAGCGUGGGGAGCAAACAGG
rnacentral:rRNA from 1 species